CGACGUGAGGGAACCUGCCUUCCAGAGGGGGACAACAGUUGGAAACGACUGCUAAUACCGCAUGACACAUGACCGUGGCAUCACGGACAUGUCAAAGAUUUAUCGCUGGAAGAUGGCCUCGCGUCUGAUUAGCUGGUAGGCGGGGUAACGGCCCACCUAGGCGACGAUCAGUAGCCGGACUGAGAGGUUGACCGGCCACAUUGGGACUGAGAUACGGCCCAGACUCCUACGGGAGGCAGCAG
rnacentral:rRNA from 1 species